UACCCUGUCUUUCUCCCUCUGUCUCUUCCUCUCUCACAAAGACCAUUUUAUGAAAAAGUGCAAAACUGAGAGAUCACUUGGCCCAAUGUUAUUUAUUUUUAUUUUUAUUUAUUUUUUUGGUGUGCCUGUGAUAGCUCUGUACCCCCAGCAGCAAACAGCAGUGUGUGUGUGUGUGUGUGUGUGUGUGUGUGUGCGCGCAUCAUAAAUGUGUAAAAGAGAGGAACUGGGAAAAAACAAGUGAUUAUAACUACUAUGUGUUAGGCCUAUAUAUGGACAACAACAAGAGCAACACACACGCGCACACACACACACACACACACACACAGUAAAAAUGAAACUGGCUAGAGUUUAGAGUUUCAUAUCAUUUUGAACUUCAAUAGGUGUGUGUGUGUGCAAUGCACUGUAUUGAUGCAGGGUUCUUAAAGAACAGAACAGUAAUCAACCAAUCAGGCUUGGCUUUCAUGUGCUUAGUAACCAAGGCACCCUUCAAACUCACUACUGAAAGCUGUCUCUCUCUCCCUGUCUCUCUCUCUCUCUCUUUCUUUCUGAUGUUUCACUGUAGACCCUCCUUCAGAGGUGUGUGUCUUGUAGUGAUGAUGGCUCUCUGUGCAUGGAAAGCUUGUAGGUGAGAGGCUUGUUUUAAACUGAUCUUAAGAUCAGAUCCCCCCCCCCCCCCCGCAGCAGCAAGGACCAACCACUGCCACUCCCAAGGGACUGGGCUGAUCACACGGCCAAUAUUUUCUCUCCUCUUAAUUCCAUCCAUCACAAAUAAAAAGCAGACGCUUGUGAUUCUUCUCUCUUUCUCACACACACACACACACAAUGUUUGUGUUUGUGAUUACUUUUAUGUUCCCAUUAAAAUACACCAGAACUCCUGGAAGUUUCACCCCUGGUCUAAUUGUCAUACGACUGUGUGUGUGUGUGUAUAGGAUGGUCCUUCAUGAUCAGUUUUUAAAAUUAUUUAUUUUUCUAUGCUUGAGUGAUACAUUUUUUUCUUCUUAGUCUCGAGACAUGUUUUUUUUCCUGGUGUGUUAAUUUAGGAUUUAAUCUCUUCUCCACACACACACACACACAGAAAAAAAAGAAAACACACACACACACCGACAUGGAUGUGUCUUCCUGUACUGUGGUCAUGGUUGUCCUCUCAGUCACAUGUAUGUAUGUGAGGUUUGUACUGCAGGGUAUUUGAGUGAAAAAAACUAUUGUUUCUGCACUUUUUAAUUAUUAUUUAUUUUAUUUAAUUUUUUAGUAAAAAUUGAUUCUGGCCCUUGCCCUUUCAAUUAUGUGUGUGUGGGUGUAUACAGACAUGUACAUGAUCUUCUGAACAUCUUCUCUUGUUGGUAAUUUUUUUGGUGCAUUUAAAAUAAUUUUUCUCCAAUUUGAUAGUUUUCAUAGACAUGUUGUUACUGGUGAGCUAAUUCAGGAUUUACACACACACACACGGGUGCUGUAUUUAAAGUGGUUGCUGUGUACACACACACACACACACACACACACAGGUGCUGUAUUUAAAGUGGUUGCUGUGUGUUGCAUUGCAGGGUGUUGGACUGGGUGCCUUUCUUUCCUGUGAACUUAUUAUUGCACACCACUUCCUAAAAACACACACACACACACACACAUACAAAUAAGGGAAGAUAAUGGCAAAUUACUCUCUUACAGUGUGUUAUCUUAACCAGUUGAAAUAAAACUAAAGAUUGUUGCAUAAACCUUCACAAGAUUUAUUUAAAUAGUGUAGAACUAGAUCCAUCCUGUUGUUUGGUAGAAUAUAGGCUAUCUAUUCAAUAUACUAUAUAUGUACAUAGAUAAGCAGCACAAUCUUAGCAUAGGUAACUGAUAUCAAUAAAUAAUUACUUCCAGAGGAAAGCAAAUAUGGAUGGGUAGAUAGGGAGAAGUGUGUGUGUGUGUGUGUGUGAACUUCUGGGGGAAAUGUCCAAAGGUCACCGAAACCCACCAAAACCUUUAUUCUGCUUAGUGUGUGUGUGUAUAUGUCUUACCAAGUUUGGUGGGAUUCAUUCAAGUGGUUUUGUCUUGAAUAUUCUGGAAGUGUGUGUGUGAGAGGGGUGGAGAGGUUGAAAAGUGAGGGACUUAGUGCACCUGUGUCGUGUGUGUAUCUGUGUUCGAUUUGCGUGUGUGUGUGUAGUGCAUUGAUGGGUGUGUGUGUGUGUGUGAUUUUGCCCUGGUCUUUCAGGGGGCUUAACCUUUGGCCCUGAGGUCAUCUGCCCCUUUGAAAUCAACUAGAGGGUGAAGACUAAGGGUUUUUAAACUAGCACAGGCAACACACCCACUCUCUCUCUUUCCCCCUCCCUCUUGCUCUCUCUCUCUGACACACGUAGUUAUUUAUUUUUUCAUGAAAUAUUACAGUGUAGUAAAUCUGAUGCUCACACUGAAUACAUGUGAAAGAGAAAGGGGGGGGGGGACUGCUGAUUACAACUUGGCUUUGCUUGAUGUGUGUUUGAAAAUAAUGUAAAAUAUUUAAAAACGCUUGAGUGGAUAUCCAGGGUCGUUUGUGUGUGACGGAGUCAUCUGUAAAACGAAAGCCUAUAUUAAACAUUGAGGAGGAAACAUACCUACUGUGUGUGUGUGUGUGUGUGUGAGAGAGAGUGAAUGUGUGUGUGUGAUUAGUGCCAAACGUUAGGCACAUGUCCGGUGAGCUGUACUGUCGAUGGAAAUCACACACAGUUCAACAGUGGAUCACAUGUGUCAUCAGUGGAUCACAUGUGACGGCCCUGUGUCGUUAGUGGAUCACAUGUGACCGUCCUGUGUCGUCUCCUUAAUGCCCUUCAGUCUCUGAGCUGCUCAGGAAUUAUCAGACGCAGAAUUAUCAUUUAUUAUUUGAUAUCAUUUUUUAUUUUUGUUUUAAACUAGGGCCAUAAGCUUUUCAUGGUUUGAGAAAAUUACUUGAUGUCACCAUUGAAUCCACAGCAAUCAGGAAACUCAGAAUGCAGUUGUGUAAGGUUUCACAUGACUGGAAGACACACUGCAACAUAGAGUGUGAUUCCCUGAGCAGCUGACGUAGGGAUCUGUGUGUGUGUGUGGUGUGUGUGUGUGUUUGUGUGAACUGCAGGUGUGCAUGUGUGUAGUUCUUUCUGCUGUUGUAAAUAUAAGUGUGUUGCAGGCAGGCCAUUUCGGUUGUGUUCUGUGGUUGUAGGUGUGAGUUUUUAAUUUUAUUUAUUUUUUUAAAAAAAAUCCUGUUAUAUAAUUUGUAAUCUGUAAUAUGAAUUUGGUAAAAAAGGAAUUUCAGCAUUCCCUGGCUGCUGUUGUUUCCUUCGAAUCUGACCCGUGUAAAGUGUAUUCGUCUCUAAUCAGUGUUACCUUAGGUGUGUUCUGUCUGAUAGUUUUAAAAUGUAAAUAUAAUCCUAAACUGGUGCAAAGAGUGUAUUAGUGUGUUCUUUCUGAUAGUUUUAAAAUGUAAAUAUAAUCCUAAACUGGUGCAAAGAGUGUAUUAGUGUGUUCUGAGGGGAGGACAGGAUAUAGUGGUGAACGACUAAACAGGAGUUCUCUAGCUGGUGUGAAAUGUUUUGCCUUAUUGGGGAAAAAAAGUUGCCUAGGUUGCCUGACUGGUGUGUUUUCUGUCGUGUGUGUGUGUGUGUGUGUGUGUGUGUGUGUGUGUGUG
ensembl:lncRNA